AACAGGUUGUGUGGGUCAGGUUUUAGAGGCCCUGUGUGGCCUCUUUCUAUCUUUCUGAUUACCUGCAUUGGAGGAAUCUCUAACAGAUAAGACAGCAUUAUUUGUGAGCCUUUCUUCCUGGCUACCCUGGGAGGGAAGGCUGACAUUGAUACUGAGCUGCUCACUGAUUUCAUAAUCAGAGAUGACACCACUGCAAAAGUCAAGGUUGAGUAUUGUUCUUCUGUGCCUGUUACCCAGCUUGCCUGGAGAGUUCGAGAAGCUCAGCGGUCAAGAAUUGACCUUUUAGAUAAAACGAGUCUCCCGAGCAAGAAACCUGAAGAAAGUCUACACAAAGCCGGCAGAUGGAAGAGCAGAGAAAGUCUUAAUAACACGGCUCAGAAGUAGCAGCAUGAAGAAUGAGACGCAGACCAAAAGCAGCCUCUGGAAGAUCUCUGGGUGUGAGCACCCCCCCACCCCCACCCCAGGAAGGACCAGAGGGAUGUGAGAGCCGCCAUCUUGGGCUGGACCACUGGGCUGUCCUGCCUCCCGCUGUGGCUUGGGGCCUAGGGAUCAUGGGUUUAGAAGUCAGAUCCUGCCAGCAAGCCCCACCCCGGAUUCUCACGGCUGAAAGCCUGGCCACUGCGUACUAGGUCACUUGUGAUGUCAUUCGGAGCCUACUGAGAUAACCAAGGACAGCCUCCUCAUCUCAAGAUCACAUCUACACAAAGGUCUCCAUUGAAGACAACAUGCACAGACUUGAAACUGGAAGGAUAUAAGCCCACAGCUGCUUGGCUCUGCUCCAUGAGGAAUCUGCCCUAAAAUGGAGCCCAUAAGAGGAAAGAAGAACCAAAAUAUGAAGGACAAAUCUAAGAUCCAAUGACCAACUUUUGACUUCCUGGAUCCAGCUGUGCCUGAAAUCAUCUCUAUCCUGGAACAUUUCAGUUGCUUGAACCACAUCACCUUUUUUUCCCCCUUAAGUUAAUGUCAGUUGGAUUUCUGUCAUUUACUAUUGGGAGA